rnacentral:rRNA from 1 species
UUUACCUAGCGGCGGACGGGUGAGUAAUGCUUAGGAAUCUGCCUAUUAGUGGGGGACAACAUCUCGAAAGGGAUGCUAAUACCGCAUACGUCCUACGGGAGAAAGCAGGGGACCUUCGGGCCUUGCGCUAAUAGAUGAGCCUAAGUCGGAUUAGCUAGUUGGUGGGGUAAAGGCCUACCAAGGCGACGAUCUGUAGCGGGUCUGAGAGGAUGAUCCGCCACACUGGGACUGAGACACGGCCCAGACUCCUACGGGAGGCAGCAGUGGGGAAUAUUGGACAAUGGGGGGAACCCUGAUCCAGCCAUGCCGCGUGUGUGAAGAAGGCCUUUUGGUUGUAAAGCACUUUAAGCGAGGAGGAGGCUACCGAGAUUAAUACUCUUGGAUAGUGGACGUUACUCGCAGAAUAAGCACCGGCUAACUCUGUGCCAGCAGCCGCGGUAAUACAGAGGGUGCAAGCGUUAAUCGGAUUUACUGGGCGUAAAGCGCGCGUAGGUGGCCAAUUAAGUCAAAUGUGAAAUCCCCGAGCUUAACUUGGGAAUUGCAUUCGAUACUGGUUGGCUAGAGUAUGGGAGAGGAUGGUAGAAUUCCAGGUGUAGCGGUGAAAUGCGUAGAGAUCUGGAGGAAUACCGAUGGCGAAGGCAGCCAUCUGGCCUAAUACUGACACUGAGGUGCGAAAGCAUGGGGAGCAAACAGGAUUAGAUACCCUGGUAGUCCAUGCCGUAAACGAUGUCUACUAGCCGUUGGGGUCUUUGAGACUUUAGUGGCGCAGCUAACGCGAUAAGUAGACCGCCUGGGGAGUA